rnacentral:rRNA from 1 species
ACUCUGAUAAACCUAAAGGCGCAAUGAAAGUAAAAGUCCGCCUUGCGCGGACCUAGGGAGGAUGGGACCGUUCUCGGACGGACCCCGCACUCCCGGGGCGUCUCAUUCUCAUCGCGAGAAGAGGCGCACCCAGAGCGUACACGCUGGGACCCGAAAGAUGGUGAACUAUGCCUGGUCAGGACGAAGUCAGGGGAAACCCUGAUGGAGGUCCGUAGCGAUUCUGACGUGCAAAUCGAUCGUCGGAACUGGGUAUAGGGGCGAAAGACUAAUCGAACCUUCUAGUAGCUGGUUCCUUCCGA